GGGGCUAUAGCUCAGCUGGGAGAGCGCCUGCCUUGCACGCAGGAGGUCAGCAGUUCGAUCCUGCUUAGCUCCACCAUCU
rnacentral:tRNA from 1 species